GAUGGGCGGGGUAUAAAUAAUAAAUUAUUAUUAAUUACUAUUAUUCCUUCUAGUGUUUUGGGUAUGUUCCUCUUGGUGGCUCUUCUGGAAGCAUCUCCAGGGCAGGCCAGAGAGAGGAGCACAGCCCCCGCCUUCCUUUCCGCCUGCUCCCUUUGUUCUCCAUCUCACUAAUGCCCAAGAAGCUUGUCCACAGGGAUGCCUGCGCUCUGAACCUCCUGUCACUACGUCAAGCAGGCUGGAGGUUCUCAGGAGGCCCAGAGUCGUCGGCAUUUCCUUCCAGACUUAGCCACCUUUCUGCCUGACACUGGGCUGGAGGUUCCCCAUCUGGACUUUGGGAUGUGUGAAAGGGACUGAUGCUUUCCAGAUCAACUAUGGGAUUAAAGGGGGGGAAAGCAGCAAAAAUGAGCAGAAGCCCCAAAAAUUGGGCAGAAGUGAACUUUUUCAGUGGCAUUGUCACCACACUAUACAGGUGAGGAAGACCCUCUUUUGGUUUCAGGGAUUUCCCUUGGUUCUCUCUCUCUCAUACUUUCUCAAACUGGCCUUUUGCAUAAAAUGGAAAGAAAAUUCAGAAUCUUCAAUUUUGCUACCUUCACAAAACUUUAAGAGGCUUUUCGGCAGCUAUGAAUAAAGACACCAAGCUCUUUCUUAUUUGCCACUUGGCUUGCAAAGUGUCCAUGUCGUCUUACCAAAACAAGCUCAGCUUCGGGACCAACCGAUCCUCCACAAUCACAGCGACUGGACUGAAUGAGAACGGCAGCAGAAGGUUGUGAGCACUUGCCCCAAAGGUGAAAUAUGACAAUGUGGUCAAUAAGUCCAAACAAUGCAAAAAGAGCAAACAUUGGGAAGAAAUGACAUUUAGGAUCUAUCCUCUAAGAAGAAUAGCCAUUUGUUGCAGUAGGAGAUCUGCACACUGGCUCAUAGCUUGCCCUUGUGAUCAGCCCAGAGGGGUUUGGGCAAGGUGGCUAGAGAAGCUGUUUCUCAUCCUCCCAGAGAAAGCAGAGCCAAGCCAGGAUGCUGGUCACCCACAGGGAGUUUUCACCGUUAAGAACCAUAGACAGCUAAAGGCCAGCUCAGCCCCUCUUCCUUGGGGAGAGGACAGCGGCAACUGGCACAAGGGGCUGGGGAGUAUUUGUGGCAAGCUGGCAGGAGCACUUCGUUGAAAAUGCCUCCUCAUCUCAACUACUGCCUGAAGAUCAGCUGCCCUAAAGACUGAACUUUGGGAGGAUCGGAAGGGCUGCAGCUCAGUACUGGAGCAACUGCUUGGUGUGCAGAAUGUCCUAGGUUCAAUCCCCAGCGUUUCCUGGUAGGGCUGAGAGAGGCUACAGCAUGGAGAAAUCCUGCAGGGCCACUGCCAGUCAGUGUGGACAGUACUGAGGAUGGAGCAAUGGUCUGACUUGGUAAAGAGCAGCUUCCUGUGAUCCUGUCUCUUUUGUGGAAACAAGUUGUGGCGGGGAAGCUUCCAAGUGGGCGCAGACAAGGCAGAGUUGUGGACUGCCUUUACUGCCAAGGCAGCUGGCUGGGGAAAGGGGCCAGGCCACAGGAUCCCCACACUCUGCAGAGAGCUGGGCUUGGUGACCUGGAGCCAGGAGAAUGCUCAGCAUCUCCCAGGUGAUUGGGAAAGGCUACCGUGGCGCCACACCCAUGUGGGACUUCUGCUGAAUCUCAUAGCCUAUGCCAGGAGACCACUUCACUGAAGCCUUUUAAGCUGGCAGCAUGUUUCACCUGGAAUCUACUCCAGGCCAGGUAUCACAAUGCUGCAAACACAACGCUAACAGAAAGACCGCAUUGUAUUCGACGAAGCUGCUCUGUUCACAGGACUUCUUCCACUUACACAAAGGAACUUUCCUUUCUCCUUGUCUCCCUGUGCAUGGGGAGGAGACAAGGAGAGGGAGGAGGAGAAGUUCUGUUGCUCAGAGAAAAGUCCUUGCACAAAUGAGACUCUGCUGGGUACAAGCCCCUGUCUUUCCUCUCCCGGGCAAAGCAGCUCCCUUGACAAGCAAGAUCUCUGACUCAAAAGUGAGCUCCCAAUGAGGACGCCCUGGCAGAGCAGCCAUUAAGGCGCCGGGAAGCUGCAAUCAGUGCUGACCUGAUAAAAGGAGCUCAGAAGAGCAGAGCUCUGCAAGAUGACACCAAGUCCCAAAGGCCCAGGCAGGGCGCUGGAACAACAGGAGAGCACCCCAGAGAGGCCGCUGCUGGCUGCAUGGAGACAAGGCCCUUCGCUUUCAGCAGCCAACGGGGGGGGGGGGGGCAGCUGGGACAAAGAGGGAAACAGUCUGUACCAGCAAACUAAGGAAACAAAGCACCAGGCAGAAGAGAAGCUCACAGAAGGCUGCCUGAACACCAAGCCAGGCUACGUGUGUCCAUCCAGCACAGGGCAGAAACAGCUCUCCAGGGUCUCUUGCGAAAAACGUUCUCUUCCCUGCGUCCUGAUACUUCUAACUGGGAGGUGCUGGGCACUGAGCCAGGGACCUUCUGUGUGCAGAGAAUGGCCCAUUGCUCAGUGAGUCAGGAUCCCGACACCAAAAGGGCUAUAUGCAUUCUGCACAUCUGGCCCAACUCAAUCUUACAACCUGUGUAGAGUUGCCUCUUUUAUUUUUUAUAAUUCCAUCCCCGCCCCUGCUGAUCUCAGGCUGCUGAGCCGUUUCAUCAUGAGGAAGGGGAGCCCCCUGGGACAAGAGGAGUCCCCCGGCACUGCCUUCCGACUCACAAACAAGCCAGGCAAGCCAAGACCUGCCGCCAGGAGCCCAAGAGAAAGGAGAGUCGCUCAGCUGGACGUCCGUUGCUCUCUGUGCGCUCUGAAGGGUGGGAGGACAGGCAGAGCUGGGACCAGGCUGGGGCCUCAUGCAAAGUGUUGGCAGCAAGGAGACGGUUCGGCAAGAAGCAGCAGCAGCAGCAGCAAGAGCACAAGCGAGAGAGGGAGGGAGGGAGGACAGAGCCCAUGCAGGUCAGGAGGCCUGAGGCACAUGCAAUAGCAGCGGCAGCGGUGGCAGUGGAGGAAGAAGGGAUCCCUGCCAGAGAUGGAAAGGGGCCCUCAAAGCCAGGCCAGGAAAGGUUCUCCCAGUCAGAGGUCACUUCCGCCACACCCUCUGGAGGCCAAGGACAGCCCACCUCUGCUGAGAAGCCAAAAGCUGCCUGGUCCCCCUUGCUCCCUAGCCGGGUGGUGCUGUUACUAAGUAAAACUUCCCUUCCCCACGACUCGACUGUUGAGGAAGGAGCUGACCAGCUUAAACUGGAGCAACCAAAGCUGCAAAUCAAUAUAUCUGAAACACUUCACUGAAGGCGUAACCAUAGCAACGCACCAAGGAUCUGAGGAUGCUCCUGUCUGGUAAC